rnacentral:rRNA from 1 species
GUGGGGAAUCUUAGACAAUGGGGGCAACCCUGAUCUAGCCAUGCCGCGUGAUCGAUGAAGGCCUUAGGGUUGUAAAGAUCUUUCAGCUGGGAAGAUAAUGACGGUACCAGCAGAAGAAGCCCCGGCUAACUCCGUGCCAGCAGCCGCGGUAAUACGGAGGGGGCUAGCGUUGUUCGGAAUUACUGGGCGUAAAGCGCACGUAGGCGGAUUGGAAAGUUGGGGGUGAAAUCCCGGGGCUCAACCCCGGAACUGCCUUCAAAACUCCCAGUCUUGAGGUCGAGAGAGGUGAGUGGAAUUCCGAGUGUAGAGGUGAAAUUCGUAGAUAUUCGGAGGAACACCAGUGGCGAAGGCGGCUUUCUGGACUGUAACUGACACUGAGGCACGAAAGCGUGGGGAGCAAACAGGAUUAGAUACCCUGGUAGUCC